CCAGAGUAGCAUUGGAGGGCAGUCUGGUGCCAGCAGCCGCGGUAAUUCCAGCUCCAAUAGCGUAUAUUAAACUUGUUGCAGUUAAAAAGCUCGUAGUUGAAUUUUAGCGUGUUCGAGUUUGCCAUUCGUUUGGCUUUUUCGAGUUCGCUUUUGGGUUUUCCCUUUUUACUUUGAGAAAAUUAGAGUGUUUCAAGCAGACUUUUGUCUUGAAUACUUCAGCAUGGAAUAAUAGAGUAGGACUUUGGUUCUAUUUUGUUGGUUAUUGAACCUUAGUAAUGGUUAAUAGGAACGGUGGGGGCA
rnacentral:rRNA from 1 species